rnacentral:rRNA from 1 species
GAUGAACGCUGGCGGCGUGCCUAAUACAUGCAAGUCGAGCGAACGGGCGAGAAGCUUGCUUCUCUGAUGUUAGCGGCGGACGGGUGAGUAAUACGUGGAUAACCUACCUAUAAGACUGGGAUAACUUCGGGAAACCGGAGCUAAUACCGGAUAAUAUUUUGAACCGCAUGGUUCAAAAGUGAAAGACGGUCUUGCUGUCACUUAUAGAUGGAUCCGCGCUGCAUUAGCUAGUUGGUAAGGUAACGGCUUACCAAGGCAACGAUGCAUAGCCGACCUGAGAGGGUGAUCGGCCACACUGGAACUGAGACACGGUCCAGACUCCUACGGGAGGCAGCAGUAGGGAAUCUUCCGCAAUGGGCGAAAGCCUGACGGAGCAACGCCGCGUGAGUGAUGAAGGUCUUCGGAUCGUAAAACUCUGUUAUUAGGGAAGAACAUAUGUGUAAGUAACUGUGCACAUCUUGACGGCACCUAAUCAGAAAGCCACGGCUAACUACGUG